rnacentral:rRNA from 1 species
CGGGACGGGUGAGUAACGCGUGGGUAACCUGCCUCAUACAGGGGGAUAACAGUUAGAAAUGGCUGCUAAUACCGCAUAAGACCACAGUACUGCAUGGUACAGUGGUAAAAACUCCGGUGGUAUGAGAUGGACCCGCGUCUGAUUAGCUGGUUGGUGAGGUAACGGCCCACCAAGGCGACGAUCAGUAGCCGACCUGAGAGGGUGACCGGCCACAUUGGGACUGAGACACGGCCCAG